UGCAUAUCAAAAAAGCGGAGGAAAAGAAACCAACCGGGAUUGCCUCAGUAACGGCGAGUGAAGCGGCAAAAGCUCAAAUUUGAAAUCUGGCACUUUCAGUGUCCGAGUUGUAAUUUGUAGAAGUAGUUUUGGGGCUGGUCCUUGUCUAUGUUCCUUGGAACAGGACGUCAUAGAGGGUGAGAAUCCCGUGUGGCGAGGAUCCCAGUUCUUUGUAAAACGCUUUCGAAGAGUCGAGUUGUUUGGGAAUGCAGCUCUAAGUGGGUGGUAAAUUCCAUCUAAAGCUAAAUAUUGGCGAGAGACCGAUAGCGAACAAGUACAGUGAUGGAAAGAUGAAAAGAACUUUGAAAAGAGAGUGAAAAAGUACGUGAAAUUGUUGAAAGGGAAGGGCAUUUGAUCAGACAUGGUGUUUGGACGCCCUGCGCUCCUUGUGGGUGCAGGACACGCUUUUCACUGGGCCAACAUCGGUUUUGGCAGCAGGAUAAAUCGUUAGGAACGUAGCUGCCCUCGGGUAGUGUUACAGCCUGGCGGAAUACUGCUAGCCGGGACUGAGGACUGCGUCUUUUGACAAGGAUGUUGGCAUAAUGGUUAAAUGCCGCCCGUCUUGAAAAAACGGACCA
rnacentral:rRNA from 1 species